rnacentral:tRNA from 1 species
GACCUCGUAGCUCAACUGGUAGAGCAUGCGCGUACAAAGCGUAGGCGGCGUCCAUGCGUGGGUUCGAAUCCCACCGAGGCCA